rnacentral:rRNA from 1 species
UGGGGAAUAUUGGACAAUGGGGGCAACCCUGAUCCAGCAAUGCCGCGUGUGUGAGGAAGGUUUUCGGAUUGUAAAGCACUUUCGGCGGGGACGAUGAUGACGGUACCCGCAGAAGAAGCCCCGGCUAACUUCGUGCCAGCAGCCGCGGUAAUACGAAGGGGGCUAGCGUUGCUCGGAAUGACUGGGCGUAAAGGGCGUGUAGGCGGUUUGUACAGUCAGAUGUGAAAUCCCCGGGCUUAACCUGGGAGCUGCAUUUGAUACGUGCAGACUAGAGUGUGAGAGAGGGUUGUGGAAUUCCCAGUGUAGAGGUGAAAUUCGUAGAUAUUGGGAAGAACACCGGUGGCGAAGGCGGCAACCUGGCUCAUGACUGACGCUGAGGCGCGAAAGCGCGGGGGAGCAAACAGGAUUAGAUACCCUGGUAGUCCACG